AAAGGACUAGAUGUAACUUGAAAUCACAUAUUAAUAAUUUAGAAGUAUUGGAUGUAAAUUUUGUUCUUCCCUUUUUCUUUCUCUUUGUCAUUCCUGAACUACCAAAAGCAUUUCUAGCAGUGGCAAAGAUAACAGUCAGUGUCUACCCAGAAUCUCGCAUUGUCCCACAGUGCCCAGAAGCUAUAGGACAGACUAGCCAAUGGGAAUGAUAAAUGAUAUUUUUAGCCAUAUUGUGUGAGCUGUUACUCUCACCAAAGCCACUGAGACUGGAAUUCCUUCAUGUUAUAUCUCAGUGCUAUAAAAUAUGGUCUGCCUGAGUGCUAUGAAAGUUCCAGUUUUAUUAUCCAGGCACAACUUUCUGCUUGUCAUCUUUCCUCUAGUCAUGUGAAUUUUCAGCCCACCCAGCUUGACUGAGUGUAAGAAUUUGUCUGGAGGCAUCCUGGGAGAGGCUUUCUUCUGAAACACCUGGUGCUUGCUGCUUUUGCUUGAGCAUCCUAGAAAUUCGGGGAACUUCUUGAUUUCGAAGCUCCUUCCCUCUUUUGUGGCUUCCUGGCAUAAGUGGCCACAGCAAACCACCGUUGGAGAUCCAGGAGUAAUUCUUCACCACAGGCCUAACGGAAAAAGAACUGAGCUUAGUGAUGUCUCACUGCACAGACACAGCAUUUAUCAUGAUGGAAAAGUGUAUACCAUGGAUACAAUCAGAUUUGCUCUGGCCUGUUUCCCAUUCUACAUGCACAGCACUUUGAUCCAUGUUAUAAUGCAGCCUGGAUGGUACUGCUUGGGCAAGAUUUCUUAUACACUUCAACAUUAGAAAAAAGGACAAGCUUCUUAAGAUCUUGGAGCUAUGAGCAACAGCUGGUUUUGUUCUUGUUUCUGCAGCAUUUUCCACAAUUUCCACCAAGAUGGUGAUUUAUAGAAAGACCCGUGUAUUUGUUGAACUCUGGGUUAUUUCAAUUAUGUAGACUCUAGUCAAUAAUCACCAAUUACCUAGCCAAAGUGUGAGAAAUGGUAUUCACUGGCAGAGGCACAAGSUUUUACAAGUGCAUCUGGAGCUGAUAAAAGUAUAAAAAGAUGGUACAUGGAAAUAUAAUACUGUUGGGAACUUUAGCAAUGUAAAGUUUGCAGUUGCUUCGUAUGUUUGUAUGUGAAGGAUAUGGAUUACUUUACGGACAAGGUUCCAAUCUCAGACUUACCCAUGUGAAUCCAGAAUAAUUUUCCUGAGCAUAGCUGGUUCUACAUUCUGGCUCUCUGUUAAUUUGACUAGAGUUAUAAAAUACUUAUGCAUACGAGACUGUGGCUUUUCAUUACAAUUAUACC
rnacentral:lncRNA from 1 species